GAUGGUGGAGCUCAGUGAUAGAGUACUUGCCUGGCAAGUGCAAGGCCCUAGGUUCAAGUCCCUAGUACUACCA
rnacentral:tRNA from 1 species